UGGGGAAUAUUGCACAAUGGGCGCAAGCCUGAUGCAGCCAUGCCGCGUGUGUGAAGAAGGCCUUCGGGUUGUAAAGCACUUUCAGCGGGGAGGAAGGCGAUAAGGUUAAUAACCUUGUCGAUUGACGUUACCAGCAGAAGAAGCACCGGCUAACUCCGUGCCAGCAGCCGCGGUAAUACGGAGGGUGCAAGCGUUAAUCGGAAUUACUGGGCGUAAAGCGCACGCAGGCGGUCUGUCAAGUCGGAUGUGAAAUCCCCGGGCUCAACCUGGGAACUGCAUUCGAAACUGGCAGGCUGGAGUCUUGUAGAGGGGGGUAGAAUUCCAGGUGUAGCGGUGAAAUGCGUAGAGAUCUGGAGGAAUACCGGUGGCGAAGGCGGCCCCCUGGACAAAGACUGACGCUCAGGUGCGAAAGCGUGGGGAGCAAACAGG
rnacentral:rRNA from 1 species